GGCGAACGGGUGCGUAACGCGUAUGCAACCUACCUUCAUCAGGGGGAUAGCCCGGAGAAAUCCGGAUUAAGACCGCAUGAAACCACAGUGCAGCAUUGCACAAUGGUCAAAUAUUCAUAGGAUGGAGAUGGGCAUGCGUGUCAUUAGCUAGUUGGCGGGGUAACGGCCCACCAAGGCGACGAUGACUAGGGGAUCUGAGAGGAUGGCCCCCCACACUGGUACUGAGACACGGACCAGACUCCUACGGGAGGCAGCAGUAAGGAAUAUUGGUCAAUGGGCGGAAGCCUGAACCAGCCAUGCCGCGUGCAGGAAGACAGCCCUUGGGUCGUAAACUGCUUUUGUACCGGAAUAAACCCGCCCUCGUGAGGGUGGCUGAAUGUACGGUAAGAAUAAGGAUCGGCUAACUCCGUGCCAGCAGCCGCGGUAAUACGGAGGAUCCAAGCGUUAUCCGGAUUUAUUGGGUUUAAAGGGAGCGUAGGCGGCCCGUUAAGUCAGAGGUGAAAGACGGUAGCUCAACUAUCGCAGUGCCUUUGAUACUGACGGGCUUGAAUACAGAUGAGGUGGGCGGAAUGUGACAAGUAGCGGUGAAAUGCAUAGAUAUGUCACAGAACACCGAUUGCGAAGGCAGCUCACUAAGCUGUUAUUGACGCUGAGGCUCGAAAGCGUGGGGAUCAAACAGGAUUAGAUACCCUGGUAGUCCACGCCCUAAACGAUGAUAACUCGAUGUUGGCGAUAUACAGUCAGCGUCCAAGCGAAAGCGUUAAGUUAUCCACCUGGGGAGUACGCCCGCAAGGGUGAAACUCAAAGGAAUUGACGGGGGCCCGCACAAG
rnacentral:rRNA from 1 species